rnacentral:rRNA from 1 species
AUUGAACGCUGGCGGCAUGCCUUACACAUGCAAGUCGAACGGCAGCACGGGUGCUUGCACCUGGUGGCGAGUGGCGAACGGGUGAGUAAUACAUCGGAACAUGUCCUGUAGUGGGGGAUAGCCCGGCGAAAGCCGGAUUAAUACCGCAUACGAUCUACGGAUGAAAGCGGGGGACCUUCGGGCCUCGCGCUAUAGGGUUGGCCGAUGGCUGAUUAGCUAGUUGGUGGGGUAAAGGCCUACCAAGGCGACGAUCAGUAGCUGGUCUGAGAGGACGACCAGCCACACUGGAACUGAGACACGGCCCAGACUCCUACGGGAGGCAGCAGUGGGGAAUUUUGGACAAUGGGCGAAAGCCUGAUCCAGCAAUGCCGCGUGUGUGAAGAAGGCCUUCGGAUUGUAAAGCACUUUAGGCCGGAAGGAAGUCCUGUAACCUAAUACGGUCGGGGGUUGACGGUACCGAAAGAAUAAGCACCGGCUAACUACGUG